UACGGAGGGGGCUAGCGUUGUUCGGAAUUACUGGGCGUAAAGCGCACGUAGGCGGUUUAGAAAGUCAGGCGUGAAAGCCCCGGGCUCAACCCGGGAAUUGCGCUUGAAACUUCUGAACUGGAGGCCGGAAGAGGGUAGCGGAAUUCCCAGUGUAGAGGUGAAAUUCGUAGAUAUUGGGAAGAACACCAGUGGCGAAGGCGGCUACCUGGUCCGGAUCUGACGCUGAGGUGCGAAAGCGUGGGGAGCAAACAGG
rnacentral:rRNA from 1 species